AACGAACGCUGGCGGCAGGCUUAACACAUGCAAGUCGAACGCACCGCAAGGUGAGUGGCAGACGGGUGAGUAACACGUGGGGAUCUGCCCAAUGGUACGGAAUAGCUCCGGGAAACUGGAAUUAAUACCGUAUGAGCCCGCAAGGGGAAAGAUUUAUCGCCAUUGGAUGAACCCGCGUCGGAUUAGCUAGUUGGUGUGGUAAAGGCGAACCAAGGCGACGAUCCGUAGCUGGUCUGAGAGGAUGAUCAGCCACACUGGGACUGAGACACGGCCCAGACUCCUACGGGAGGGAGCAGUGGGGAAUAUUGGACAAUGGGCGCAAGCCUGAUCCAGCCAUGCCGCGUGAGUGAUGAAGGCCUGAGGGUUGUAAAGCUCUUUCGCCGACGAAGAUAAUGACGGUAGUCGGAGAAGAAGCCCCGGCUAACUUCGUGCCAGCCGCCGCGGUAACAC
rnacentral:rRNA from 1 species